UAUUUCAGGGGGAGCGGUAAAAUGCUAUAAUCCUUGAAGGACCACCAAUGGCGAAGGCAUUUGCCCAGAACAGGUCUGACAGUGAGGAAUGAAGGCUAGGAGAACGAUCAGGAUUAGAUACCCUAGUAGCCCUAGCAGUAAACCCUGUGAGCUAUGUGUUGCAUAUUCUAUAUGAAUGUGCAGUGCCGUAGAGAAGUCGUUAAGCUCACCACCUGGGAAGUAUGGUCGCAAGACUGAAACUUAAAAGAAUUGGCGGGGGCGCACUACAAGGGGUGAGGUGUGCGGUUCAAUUGGACUCUACGCCGGUAAUCUUACCAUGAGCGACGGCAGGAUGAAGGUCAGAUUAAAGGUUUUACCUGACGAGCCGAGAGAUAGUGCAUGGCCGUCGUCAGUUCGUGCUGUGAAGUGUCCUGUUAAGUCAGGCAACGAACAAGACCUAUAUCUACAUUUGCUACAGAUUCUUUUGAAUGGCUGAGCACAAUGUAGAGACUGCCUUGGAAACAAGGAGGAAGGUGUAGGCAACGGUAGGUCUGUAUGCUUCGAAUCCCAUGGGCUACACGCGCGCACCAAUGGAAUGGACAAUGGGAUGCAACUCUGAAAAGAGAAGCAAAACCUCUAAACCAUUCCUUAGUUUAGAUUGAGGGCUGUAACUCGCCCUCAUGACACUGGAAUCCCUAGUAAUCGGGCUUCAAAAUGGCCCGGUGAAUAAGUCCCUGUGCCUUGCACACACCGCCCGUCAAGCCAACCGAGCAGUAUUUAGGCGAGAACUAGUUAUUUGAUUAUUUCGAACCUAAGUUCAGUGAGGUGGGUUAAGUCGUCACAAGGUAACCGUAGGGGAACCUGCGGUUGGAUCACCUCC
rnacentral:rRNA from 1 species